UUUGUACUCUAAUUUGCCUUCGAUUACAUUCCUAGAUCAAACAAAAGAUCAAUUUGGAGAACAGAUUCAUGUUUGUUGUUAGGCUGCAAAAAUAAACUGUUCAAAGCUUCUGCGGAUUCGUCAAACCACAUCUUUCUUGUCACUUUCCCUAAAUCGAAAAUAUUUAUACUUUCCCUUUUUCUUCCUUCCAGUUUCUAAACAGAAGCAAAGACUGUGAAAUUAUGUUACUACCAAAUAAUUUUAUGAUUUUUUUUUUUUACUUUAUUUUUGCUAAAUAGGCUUCACAUGUUAGUAGAUUACUACUCAAAUGUCUUUAUUUUGUCAUACACGCUUUGAAAUUUUGAAGCCAGUGGCUUUUCUUCUUUCUCUUUGGUCAAAUUUGCUUGUUUGAAUAAACAAGGUGGGUGAAGAACGCUUAAUCAGGAAUGGCUCUUUAAAAAAAUUAUGUACAACAGAAAGAACAAAAUCGUCUUCUUUUAUUCUUCAAUUUGGCAUAGACGUGCUGACUGUCACAUACUGCAAUACACCAGCCUAAAACUUCUGUAAUACACCAGCCAAAACUUCUGCAAUACCCCAGCCAAAAAUGCUCGAACAGCUUUUGCAGCAAGGCUUUUCUUACUCAUACAUCCAUCUGUUUGCAAGUAAUAAACUCAGUAUGUGAGCUUCAAUAUUGCUAUAUACAUGUUUCCUAUUUUGUUAUUUGAAAAAAUAUUGAAUCAUCACUGCAGUUGAAGACCCGUUUCUUCCAUUUUUCUUAUGGAUAUUCAUAGCUCAUAAAAUCUCAGCACUUAAACCUCUUUAGAAGAGAGAACAAUAGAGAAAGAGAAACGAGCAGAACUUCAAGUCUCUUUCAAUCAUGGCAAGUUCCUUCCUUGUUACUGUUUUCUGGACGUUCUAAGCUCUCUAAAGGAAAGGUUGAUGCCUGAGGUAGAAAAGAUAGGUGCAUUUCAAAAUGGCCAAUGGUAAUGCCAUCCAUAGUUUUUCUACAUUCAGCACUGACGGAAGCAAAGAGGGUCUCGCCUACAGAGGGAAAUCUUUUCCUUUGCAUCUAUAUGGUAUAUACUUCCCCACUUUGUCAUAGUGUCAAUCACUCUACAUAUAGAUUCACCUAUUAUGUAGGAAAUAGUUGAUCAACAGAAUGCAUGUUACUUUUCGUUAAUUGUUCGUGGUUUGUCUUUUUCCGCCACUGUUCAUACAAGAUUUAACACAGACAAAACAGGUAUCUGCUCUUUCUCUUUCAUUGUUGUCUUUUUUUUCCUUCUCAAAAAAAUAUUAAAUGCUAGGAGUUAAAAACAAGCAUAGAAGGCGUAGUUCAAACCUCUGUGCCUUACCAUUCAAAUGUUAACUGCAGAGACCUAAAGAAAUAAUAAUACAGAAGCUGUUAAAAGAUAAACAUAUCUUUGUGUUGCUAACGACAACUCGAGUAAAUUAGUAAUCAGACAAAAAUUCAAUACUGGACUUAGCUCUCCAACUCCUUAUUUGAGACUGCAUUUUUCGCUAUGAAUCUGCAUAUUAACAUUAGCCAUUCAUCUUGGCUUACCACUCUUAUUAAAUUUUACUGCCUUGAAAAAAUUCUGUUUGGUUUUCCCUGUUCUUUUUAUCCUUACUAACAUGGUAUGCUACAGGUUUGGAAAAGUUUACUUGGGGUACAUAUAGCUAAUGCAAUCAACUAAAAUUUACAACCUGCGGAACUGGCCAGUCAAAUUACUUCCUUUUUUUUUUUGUACGAAAGAUAAAGAUGCAGAACUUCUUUUAACAGUUAAAUGCAUCUUUAUCUUUCAUACCAAAAAAAAAAGAUUGUGAAGAAAAUUGGUUCCAUUGGCCUUGGUGCUAUCGGAUUUGACAGAGCAACGCAAUUACUGAAAUCGAAUUUCCCAUUUUUGGAUAUGAUGUAAUAUGUUGCCUCUUUCAUAUUCGAUGUUGGAAGAUGUCACUUGCCCGUGUCAUAUUAAAGGAAAAGCUUGCAUUCUAUGUUUCUGACAUUUUGUGUUUGUUUGCAGAUAGUUGGGCAGAACAUUUUCAUUCCUAACAUCCUUACAUGGAGUAUGUCUUCUUCUCUUCACUAGCAUUCAUCCUCGCUACAAAUUAUCAGCGGCAACCUUAAGAGAUAGAGUUGAACACUUGCUUGUCUAUACACUACCUUUGUCAUUUCCUUGAUUUUCGUACAUAUAAAUGUUAGUAUUAUAAAUUUUCUUCAACAUAACUACUCCUUAUGGAUUUCUAUAUAUCCACAAGAUUAAAUACUCUUCUACA